GCGAGCGCGCGAGCGCAACUCCUCCUCCUCCCCUCCGCAUGCCUGGCGCUUCCUUCCUGCCGCGGCACAGGGCGCUUCCGGCUUUGAGACGAGUGGCUUUCCACCUCCACACCCUAGAAAUUUCCACAGUAAAGCACGAGUGAGAAAAUUGGAGAGUUAAUUGAGAAGACUGGAACCAGGAGCAAUACUUUUUCAUGCUCAUUUGAUCUGCAUUUAACUGACAAAGAGACCAUGAAACUAUAUGUACAUACACACACAGAGGAAAAUGUGAAAUGGCUGCUGUGGAGCAUCUUUCACUGUACACCACACAAAAUACACAUUAAAGGUUACAGAGGAAAGUACGAUAUAUUAUUUUAUAAAUUGUAUAUGACCAUGUCAUUAAUUAUUGUACUGGAGAGGGAAAUGGUUAAGAUUGUGCAACCUUGACAUUUCCUCAGUUUUAAGUGUCUAACUGUAUACAUUUAAAAUUUAAUGAAAUCCUAACUGAAAUGAUUUAACCUAAUUGACAUAUUGUUUUUGUCUUCACUGAAACAUUUCUCUGCAGUGUUUGCAACUCAAACGUCAGUGUUAGUGCAUGAAUAAAAAAAAUAAACUUC